rnacentral:misc_RNA from 1 species
GAUGAAGAACGCAGCGAAAUGCGAUAAGUAAUGCGAAUUGCAGAAUUCAGUGAGUCAUCGAAUCUUUGAACGCACAUUGCGCCCUCUGGUAUUCCGGGGGGCAUGCCUGUUCGAGCGUCAUUAUAACCACUCAAGCUCUCGCUUGGUAUUGGGGUUCGCGGUUCCGCGGCCCCUAAAAUCAGUGGCGGUGCCUGUCGGCUCUACGCGUAGUAAUACUCCUCGCGAUUGAGUCCGGUAGGUCUACUUGCCAGCAACCCCCAAUUUUUACAGGUUGACCUCGGAUCAGGUAGGGAUACCCGCUGAACUUAAGCAUAUCAAUAAGCGGAGGA